AUCCGACAAUAAACCUUGUAACAUGAACAACUUUCGAAUUCAAGGUGAGUGCAAUAUACUGCUUAUUUAAAUAUAGUCUGUGGAUUUUCAUGUUUAGUGUUUAUGUGUUUUUCAAAACAAGAAGAUAAAUAUAGAAAUAUGUUCAGCCCAUAUGGUUUAUUUGCACUUACUUCAGAAAAGGCACUCCCAUUAGUUAUGUAAGCAUCAACAAAUGUGAGUUAAGCGCAUUUACAAUGAGCAGUUCGUUCGUUGCAAAUCAGAUUUAUUUCACAUGCAAACUUAUUUUUCUUAUAAAUCUCAAUGAAAUUACGUCUGAUAAUGAUGACGUUAUUCAUGUAGACUAAGUAAGUUCUUAUUUAUGAAAAACAAUAGCACAAAUCAUUCGAGCUUUGAACAGGAGUGGCCUAAAUCGCCUAAUUGACAUACUAGACGGGAUUAUCGAUUUAACACGAUCUGUUAAACCUUCGUAUUGUUUAAUCUGCCAAAAAAGAUGAAUCAUUCAAUGAGCAUACACUCGGUUAUGGAAAACAUACUCAUGUCGUAUUUGUUAAUUUAAAUGUUAUAGAUUAAUAUUUACUUCUUAUCUUCGUAACAUUAUCAUAUUGCCUAUUGCAACUGUUCUUCACGUGUAUUCUGUCGAUUGUGUUUUUCUGCAGAUAAAAAUUGCGGCAGUGAUGGGCUAGAAAACGGAAAUAUACAGGAUGUCAUGUCUUCCGGACAUGGUUUAACACGUGCUAUAUUCUUUUUGGCUUAUAGCCUUUUUAACUGUCAACACAAGCAUAGCUUAUCAAUAUUAACUGGUCAAAAAUGUGUUCAGUUUUUUUUACGGCGUAGCUACCUCACCCAGAUUUUCUUUUUUAUUGACCUUUAUUAACAGCCGAUACAAUUUUAUAGAAUUUUCACGCCAGUAGACCCGACUGAAUAGCUGGAUACAUUAAGUGCAAAUUUUUGUAAAGGGAACAUUUCGAAUAUGAAUUUUUUCAAUAAUACACGCAUGUUUUGUAUUGUAUUGUCGAUAAUUUAUAAUUAUAUACUUCAAAUCCUCAAUACGUUUUAUUAGACACAACACAAAAGGACUUGGAAGAAGAUCAGUUAAACAAACGGGAAGAAAACGUUGAACUGAUAUGUGAAAUUGCAGAGCUGUGUAAUAGACCGGACAGAAAAGAUCCAGAGGUUCUUCUUCUGCUGAGCAGCAUCGGUGCAGGAAAAGGUGCAAUGGUGACCACCAUCAUCAAAGCCAUGACGGGAAAAUAUUUCCACAAAGCAAAAGCUGGUCACGGGAACGUGGCAUCAAAAACACUGGCAUUUGAAUGGUUUCAUUCCUCCCGGAACAUCGGUUAAGUACUUACAAAAGUUGCAGAAAGAUUAUGGUGUAGGUUGCUUACAGAAAAUGUACCCGAGCAAUAGCAAGGAAUGGGAGGUAACAAGAGUUGUGUUUGUUGCAAGUGCCUCUCAAUCACUGCCGACUGCAUUAGUCGAAAUCGUCCGAUGUUUAUUAGAAUCUCACGACCAGGCAACAGGAUAUUUCAAAUACAAUAUUGACCUGUUCGUAGUCAUCACAAAGUGUUAUUUAGUGGAAGGGUUCAACACUUCUGAAAAGACAUCGGAAUCAAACUGAUUAAACGCCACCAGUUUAAGGGGAUGGAGAAUGAAGUUGCAAAAGAGUUCGGUAUAGGCGGUGCUAUGGAACAUAACAGCAUCUGUUGGCAGAGCUAUGUGGACGGCCGAUGUUUGGAUGAUCCGUACAUCGACAAUAUAGCUCUCAAGUUCGUGAGGCAGAUUAUGCAACCUAGACGAAGAAGACAUCCGGUUGAGAGUAAUAAGACGCCUGUGCUUACACCACAAAAAUGCUUUUAUUUAAACUGACAAAGGCGGCAAAUGACAUGAAUGCGGAUCAGAAACUUUUCUUUUUGGUCGGUGUUUUGGUGGCUUUCGUUGUUGUAUACGUGUCGUUGUCACAAACCGUUAAGACAGCUGAUUCAAAAGCUUGACAAAAACAGCAUUCGUUUUGCCAAUAUAUUGUGUUUUACUAAUACCAGUAAGAAAUGCACGCAUGUACGUACAGAAUAGUUUUCUAUGAUUGAAUAUUCAUGUAUUGCUUUUGUUGUUAUCAUGUUUUCAUUGAGGUUAAACACUCGGCCUAUAUAUGUGGACAUAUG